AGCGAACGCUGGCGGCAGGCCUAACACAUGCAAGUCGAACGAACCCUUCGGGGUUAGUGGCGGACGGGUGAGUAACACGUGGGAACGUGCCUUUAGGUUCGGAAUAACUCAGGGAAACUUGUGCUAAUACCGAAUGUGCCCUUCGGGGGAAAGAUUUAUCGCCUUUAGAGCGGCCCGCGUCUGAUUAGCCAGUUGGUGAGGUAAUGGCUCACCAAGGCUACGAUCAGUAGCUGGUCUGAGAGGAUGACCAGCCACAUUGGGACUGAGACACGGCCCAAACUCCUACGGGAGGCAGCAGUGGGGAAUCUUGCGCAGUGGGCGAAAGCCUGACGCAGCCAUGCCGCGUGGAUGAUGAAGGUCUUAGGAUUGUAAAAUCCUUUCACCGGUGAAGAUAAUGACUGUAGCCGGAGAAGAAGCCCCGGCUAACUUCGUGCCAGCCGCCGCCGUAAGAC
rnacentral:rRNA from 1 species